rnacentral:lncRNA from 1 species
GGGCAUCUCAAAAAGAUUUCUAAACUUGGUUUCAACCACAAAGCUCCAAGUGGGAUCUUUAGCUGAUCCAACAUAAUAAACUUGAGUUUUUUGGCUUGCUAGCACAAAAGAUUCUUGAAUGCUUAGUCUGCUUGCUAUGUUAAUACUAAUAAUUCCAUGAUGACUUCUCUCUUAUCCAACUCCUCUAGUUAUAUCAUACUCGUCGUAUUUAAAUAAUCGACUCUGAUCUCUUCAGUAUAAUGAAGUUCAAUAACAUCGGUAAGGAAU